GGAUUAGAUACCCUGGUAGUCCACGCCGUAAACGAUGUCUACUUGGAGGUUGUUCCCUUGAGGAGUGGCUUUCGGAGCUAACGCGUUAAGUAGACCGCCUGGGGAGUACGGUCGCAAGAUUAAAACUCAAAUGAAUUGACGGGGGCCCGCACAAGCGGUGGAGCAUGUGGUUUAAUUCGAUGCAACGCGAAGAACCUUACCUGGUCUUGACAUCCACAGAACUUUCUAGAGAUAGAUUGGUGCCUUCGGGAACUGUGAGACAGGUGCUGCAUGGCUGUCGUCAGCUCGUGUUG
rnacentral:rRNA from 1 species